UUAACGGGAAGAAAUCGAUUCCCUCACGCGGUUUUUCGGAUGCAGUUGCUGUAGAUAAUACAACUGUAUCUCCAUAAUGCAUAAGAGCUGCGCCAUUUGCCUGUGCGGCUACACGACCGAUAUCAACGCUUAAUGUUCUUCCGGCCAGUUCCAUUGAAUAGGUUUUCUUCAUUAUUUUCUCUCCUUCUUUACUGUGGCAGGAGACCCGAAACUACUGAUCUGUACAAAACUUUCCCACAUCACACUUGCAUCUAUCCUUUGUACAAG
rnacentral:antisense_RNA from 1 species